rnacentral:rRNA from 1 species
AACGAACGCUGGCGGCAUGCCUAACACAUGCAAGUCGAACGCCCUCUUCGGAGGGAGUGGCGCACGGGUGCGUAACGCGUGGGAACCUGCCCGUAGGUUCGGAAUAACUCAGAGAAAUUUGAGCUAAUACCGGAUAAUGUCUUCGGACCAAAGAUUUAUCGCCUUUGGAUGGGCCCGCGUUGGAUUAGCUAGUUGGUAGGGUAAAGGCCUACCAAGGCGACGAUCCAUAGCUGGUCUUAGAGGAUGAUCAGCCACACUGGGACUGAGACACGGCCCAGACUCCUACGGGAGGCAGCAGUGGGGAAUAUUGGACAAUGGGCGAAAGCCUGAUCCAGCAAUGCCGCGUGAGUGAUGAAGGCCUUAGGGUUGUAAAGCUCUUUUACCAGGGAUGAUAAUGACAGUACCUGGAGAAUAAGCUCCGGCUAACUCCGUGCCAGCCGCCGCCGUAAGAC